AUUUAUAUUGGCCUAUAGUAUCAUGUUGGUUUAGUUUUUAAUUAUACAUGGUAUUUGAGGAGUGUUAAGAGGAGAUAAAAUAGGUGUUUCUUUUUUUAAUAAAAAUUAGAACUUAAAAUAUAGUCCUUGUUAGUAUAGCUAUUAUUAGGUAUUUAGUUUCUUAACUCCAGUAAUUAAUAUUGACAAAAUAUAGAAAUAUAGAGUAAUUAAAUAAAUAAGAGAGAUGAAUAAUAAAGUGCCAGCAUUCGCGGUCAGUCUUUAUUCUCAAAUUAAUAGGUUCGUGAAUAAGUUAAACUGAAUAAUAAUUGUAAUUGAUAAUAUAGAUGGGUGAAAUCUCUAUACUAUUAAUUUUUUAAUUAAUUAUAACGUUAAAUCUGUUAAGGCUGUUUAGAAGACAGGGAUUAGAGACCCCUUUAUUAAUGCUUUUCUAUGAAGUUCACGAGUACUACGAGCAAAAGUGCUUAAAAUUCAAUGAGGUUGGCGGUGCUUUAUAUCCAGUUUGGGGAACUUGGCGUUUAAAUCGAUGAUCCUCGAAAAUUGUACCUUUAGUAUUCUUUGUAUACCGCCGUUGAAGUUGAUCUGUUUGAGAAAAGAUUUUAGCAUAAAACAAAAUAAAUUAGUAACGUUUAUUUUGUAAAAAUUCAGGUACACGUGCAGGUUCUAAAGGGAUUAGCUGAGUUACAAUUAUAAAAUAAUGCGAAUUAUUGGUUUAGAAACCGAAUGAAGAUGGACUAAAUAGUAAAAUUUUUUAUAGAAGAAAUUUGAAUAGAGUAAGUAAAGUGCGUACAAAUCGCCCGGCACCCUUGAAUAUUCAAAUUAAGGUAAGUCGUAACAUAGUAAUGCUAACAGAAGUUGGUGUUAAAUUUUA